AAUGGUACUUUGAACUUGGAAUGAGUAUGAAAAAAUUGACUACACUUUUAUCUUUUAAGUCGUUUUGUCGGACACAAUGUUAAGAUGGAAUGAUACAUAGUAGCCUUGUCUCUACGCUUGAAAUUGACUAUACUUUUAUCUUUCAAGUGGGUUUGAGAAUAUUGCCCGAUGAUGAACAUGAGAGAUCGUUUGAAAAAUCGUAUGAGGCUCUGGAAAAAUGUCCAUUUUUCCUUUAUAAGAGCUUAACUGAACUUUAGGUGAUAAAACAAGUGUUUUGAUAAAAUUCAGCUUGUAUUAGGAAGCGUGCCAUUUGAUAGUUUUUGAAAUAAUUUGCCCUUUAAGUUCAAAAACUCUAGUGUUCUCUCACGUACUAAACACAUUCUCACUUGGCGCCCAAACUAAUAAAAUGAAGUACAUCAUGCAAUAACGGAAAUAAAUGUUUAAGUUACAGACCCAAAAUUAAUUAAUAUAAUAAUCCAACAAAAGAUGUAAAGGCACGCAAGCCCAAUUAACGUAGGGUUUGAACUUAACAUGACAAACUAUGUCCCAACACUCAUGCCGGCAGGUGUCUAUUAGUACCUACACAAUGCAGGGGGGGUGAGUAUUGACACUCACCCAACAGUAAUCUCAUUUCUUACUGAGUAAACAUGUUAGUGUCGUGGCAAAUAAAUUAUGUAAUGGAAUGUCCAAUUUCUUGAUUAACUUAAUUUUAUUAAGUCCAUCUUAUUUAAUUAACUCAUUAGAGAUAAUUAAAUAAUGGAAAGAAUCCGAAAUCAAUAACCACCAAUAGGGCUUCAAUAACCUGCCAACAUGGAAAAAAAAUUUAGCCUCGCCAACACAUAACAUAUCCAAGCUAUAAAUAAGUACAGACUAGGUCCCACAUUGAUCUCACUCGAUGCUCCCUCUGAGCUGCAUGUUAGAAAAUCCACACCACCGUCUCCACAGAAGCUACUAUUGCUAUCAACUGCACAGUGUUCGGGGUUCUAAUCCUCAAAUAGUUCGAUCCACUAUCUCCUGAAGCUUAUUGGCAAUACCGGCUAUAAGCCUAUAACCCGGGCCACGCCUGUAAAAUCAAUAAUACCGGGACUCGACCGAAAAUCAACCGAGUACAAAUAAAACUCCAAACUAGGUUACUUUUACAGUUGGAAUAUUUUUCGACACUAGGCCAUUUUCUCAAAAAUGUUCUCCUUGGCCAAUACCCUUAAGGGUCCAAUCUCAAUUAUGCCCCCAAGGCAUAAUUGACCUAAAUGCCCUUAAGGCACAAAUUACUAAGAUGCUCUCAAGGACAAAAUUACCAAAUUGCCCUCAGGCAUAAAUUAUCAAAAUGCAUUCAAGGCAUCAUUUACCAUUAUAUCCCAAUUAACCACUAGUUAAUUUCUUAUAUGAUAAAUUCAAGAAUUUCACCCAAAUUACUUUUAAUGGAUUAUUUUACCCUUUAGUGGCCAAAAUCACCAUUUAGCCCUUAUAGUCUCUAAAUUCAUUAAAUAACCCAACAAAUCCACAAAGUAACUUAAACCUUAAAAUAAUCGUAGGAACAUAUUUAUUUACUCAAGAAACUAGCAAGCAAAACUAGUUUGAAAAUUUUGAAAAAAAUAGCAAAACUCAACUAAAUCAAACCAUGUUUUUAAUUAGGCUAUUUAACCCCAUGAUUAGUCUAACUACAUUAUUUUUCUCAAAUUUUCAACACUUCUAAGAUUUCACACAAUUCUAAAGUUGUCCAAAAAUUAUGUUAUUUACAUCAAAAGUCUUAGAAUAUGGCACAGACAACACCUUUUGAUAUUUGAGUAAAAAGCCCCAAAUGUUUUUCGUACCCAAUUCUUUCUUUGUUUUCAUUCUCUCUUUUACAUGUUUAUGUAAAUAUAUGUAUUAUGUAUUAGGGUUUGUGAUAUAGAAGAGGGAAAAGCCAAUUUGCAGAGCAAGGGCGUCAAUGAAUCAACAACGAACCACCUGCAUUGAAGGGUCAAGAGGGAAUCUGGAGGGAAAUAUAUAGAGAGAUGGAGGGAGAGAAAAACGGUGGCGCUACUUGCAUAAUGAUGUCGCCAAAUUGAAGGUUGCUUAUAGUAGUCCAUAGGUUCCUUUGUUUUUCUUUGCUCAAUCAAACUUUGUUUUGUCGUAGGAAUGACUCAUUUUUUGUUGAUAGAGCUACUAUGUAUGUAGCAGCAGAUAUUUGAAAAUUGAAAUCAGUUUGUGUAAUAAAAGUUUAAUGCUUUGAUUUACUAGGAAAAUAUUUGUUGUUUAUUUUUUUCAAAUGUAAAUAAUCAUGUUUUCAAAUUUAAAAA